GGUGAAGUUAAUCCAUAUUUCAUCCAUUCUGAGAACAGUAGCUGUGCCUUACCCCAUGUGGCCACAUCUUCUAUCUACUGAUGAUUGUGCCUUUGGCCCAGGGCAACACAGCAAUAUUCUUCAUAGCUUAUGCGACUAGUACAGAAGGAAGUAUUAGGUCUGAUUAGGCAAUUUUCUAGGCAACUUGGAGAUUGAAGGCAUUAGCCACCGGCAGAGUCUGAAAGGGUACCCAGGGGAGAUUUGGGCUCAACAGGAUAGCCAAAGGCCAUGCUGCUCAAAGGAAGCAAAGCCACAGCCUUGCAUCCAGCCGACGGCUGUCCCUUCGGCUUGUGACCUGGAGGCAAGCUGACCCUGGGGAAGAAGGCGUGAGCUUUGGAGCCGAGGCACCUGCUUUGUUCCCUGCCAGCUGUGCCACCAGAAAGGGACAUAGUCACUCCCCACCCGGUGGGAUCGUUGUGUGGAACACAUACCUGUCGGGGGAGGUCCUGAUGCGGUUGGUCUGGGGCAGGCCCUGGGAGGUGUUGGCGCUGCGGGUGCGCAGGGCGCACGCCGGACAACAAGGCACUAGACGUCCACGCUCUAGCGGCUACCCUGCUCCGCGGGCCGAGGGAGGGCUGCCCCUCCGUUGGAGGCCAGACGGGCCUGAUUCACCCCACUGCCUCCCUGGACCACUUUUUCCCGCCCAGUGACUGCUUGAUUCAUCAGGUACAUCCUCCCUGGGCAGGCUCCUGGAGACACAUCUCCUAGAAAGACAAAUGAACUAUGACUCUUCGGGGGGUUUCCGUCCACAACUCAGUGGGGGAGAGACUCUCCACUUCCCAGGGUGCAGCCCAAGAACUCGCUGCUGCUCUUCCCAUGUUUGGACAACGAUGACUAAAGGCCACACGCUUCCAGCCAAGUGUCGGUGAUUGGCGGGCAGGCUUGAAAACAGCAGCUUUUCCAGAGGUCGAC
rnacentral:lncRNA from 12 species